CUUAGCCCUUAACUUAAAUAAUUUACAAAACAAAAUUAUUUGCCUGAGAACUACUGGCCACAGCUUAAAACUCAAAGGACUUGGCGGUACUUUAUAUCCAUCUAGAGGAGUCUGUUCUAUAAUCGAUAAACCCCGUUACACCUCACCACUCCUUGUUAAUUCAGCCUAUAUACCGCCAUCUUCAGCAAACCUUAAAAAGGAAUAAAAGUAAGCAAGAGAAUUACCAUAAAAACGUUAGGUCAAGGUGUAGCCAAUGGAGUGGGAAGCAAUGGACUACAUUUUCUUAAUAAGAACAUCACGAGACCCUUUUUGAAAUCAAAAGGGUGAAGGAGGAUUUAGUAGUAAAUUAAGAAUAGAGAGCUUAAUUGAAUAGCGCAAUGAAGUA
rnacentral:rRNA from 1 species